UACGGAGGAUGCAAGCGUUAUCCGGAUUCAUUGGGUUUAAAGGGUGCGUAGGCGGGCUAUUAAGUCAGUGGUGAAAUCCUGCAGCUUAACUGCAGAACUGCCGUUGAUACUGAUAGUCUUGAGUUUGGUUAAGGUAGGCGGAAUGUGUAAUGUAGCGGUGAAAUGCAUAGAGAUUGCACAGAACUCCGAUUGCGAAGGCAGCUUACUAAACCAAUACUGACGCUGAGGCACGAAAGCGUGGGGAGCGAACAGGAUUA
rnacentral:rRNA from 1 species